UAGUGGCGGACGGGUGAGUAACACGUGGGUAACCUGCCUCACAGCUGGGGAUAACAUCGAGAAAUCGAUGCUAAUACCGAAUGUGCUGAACAUCAUAAGAUGUUCAAGUGAAAGACGGUUUCGGCUGUCACUGUGAGAUGGACCCGCGCUGGAUUAGCUAGUUGGUAAGGUAAUGGCUUACCAAGGCGACGAUCCAUAGCCGACCUGAGAGGGUGAUCGGCCACAUUGGGACUGAGACACGGCCCAA
rnacentral:rRNA from 1 species